AGCUGCUGCUGCAGCUGGAGCCAGGUGCCAGGUGCCAGGUGCCAAGCGACGCCUCGACCACACGCGCCAGCUCGUCAGCGCGACCAACAAGCCCAGGAAGAAGGGUGAGCACAGCCACUGUAGCUACCGCACUAGCUGCUGCUGCAGCUGGAGCCAGGUGCCAGGUGCCAAGCGACGCCUCGACCACACGCGCCAGCUCGUCAGCGCGACCAACAAGCCCAGGAAGAAGGGUGAGCACAGCCACUGUAGCUACCGCACUAGCUGCUGCUGCAGCUGGAGCCAGGUGCCAGGUGCCAAGCGACGCCUCGACCACACGCGCCAGCUCGUCAGCGCGACCAACAAGCCCAGGAAGAAGGGUGAGCACAGCCACUGUAGGUACCGCACUAGCUGCUGCUGCAGCUGGAGCCAGGUGCCAGGUGCCAGGUGCCAAGCGACGCCUCGACCACACGCGCCAGCUCGUCAGCGCGACCAACAAGCCCAGGAAGAAGGGU